GAUCCCUGGACGGGGCCCCCUGCUCCCGGCGCGACUGUCGACCGGGGCGGACUGUCCUCAGUGCGCCCCAACCGCGUCGCGUCGCCAGGGCGGGGAUCGGCCCACGAAAGGCGCAAGGGUCUGCGGCGAUGUCGGCAACCCAC
rnacentral:rRNA from 1 species